GUGAGGAAUAUUGCGCAAUGGAGGCAACUCUGACGCAGCCAUGCCGCGUGCAGGAAGAAGGCGCUACGCGUUGUAAACUGCUUUUAACCGGGAAGAAACCCCAGGACGUGUCCUGGGUUGACGGUACCGGAGGAAUAAGCACCUGCUAACUUCGUGCCAGCAGCCGCGGUAAUACGAAGGGUGCAAGCGUUAUCUGGCUUCAUUGGGUUUAAAGGGUGCGUAGGCGGAGCGUUAAGUCAGUGGUGAAAUCCUGCAGCUUAACUGUAGACUUGCCAUUGAUACUGGCGCUCUUGAGUGCGCUUGAAGUGGGCGGAAUGUGCCGUGUAGCGGUGAAAUGCUUAGAUAUGGCACAGAACACCAAUUGCGAAGGCAGCUCACUAAGGCGAUACUGACGCUGAGGCACGAAAGCGUGGGGAUCGAACAGGAUUAGAUACCCGUGUAGUCC
rnacentral:rRNA from 1 species